UACGGGGGGGGCAAGCGUUGUUCGGAAUUACUGGGCGUAAAGGGCUCGUAGGCGGCCAACUAAGUCGGAUGUGAAAUCCCCAGGCUUAACCUGGGAACUGCAUCCGAUACUGGAUGGCUUGAAUUCGGGAGAGGGAUGCAGAAUUCCAGGUGUAGCGGUGAAAUGCGUAGAUAUCUGGAGGAAUACCGGUGGCGAAGGCGGCCUGCUGGGCUGUUGCUGACGCUGAGGCGCGACAGCGUGGGGAGCAAACAGG
rnacentral:rRNA from 1 species